CAGCGCCACGAGUGGGAACCAUGUUUAUUGGGUCUAAAGCGUCCGUAGCUGGUCUAGUAAAUCUUUUGUGAAAUCAUUCGGCUUAACCGAAUGGCGUGCAGAAGACACUGCUAUGACUCGAGACCGGGAGGAGUUAGGGGUAUUCUGAGGGGAGCGGUAAAAUGCAAUAAUCCUCAGCAGACCACCUGUGGCGAAGGCGCCUAACUAGAACGGUUCUGACAGUGAGGGACGAAAGCUAGGGGAGCGAUCCGGAUUAGAUACCCCAGUAGUCC
rnacentral:rRNA from 1 species